rnacentral:lncRNA from 1 species
GCAAUAAUUUCUUUUCAAACAAAUUACGGAAUUAAUGUGUAAUCUCCCAGCAAAAGAGAAACUCAACAAUCAGAGGAAAACAGCGACGGGAAAAGACACAAUAACUGGUGUACAGGACCACAACGGAGACCCAAGCAGAGAGGUUUGCCGCUGACACCCGACUCAACUUUUGGAGCUUUUGGAGCAGACAGGCUCGUGGCUUUAUUAGCAAAGUUUGGGGCUGUUUUGGCGAGAUUUU